UGCUUACUAGAAUCAAGUAACAUCAAUAUAUUAAUAAACCACACAAUACAUUAAAUUAAAUUAUCAUUAGUCUCAAAAAUUUGCUUUAAACACAACUACUUCAACCAUUAAACACAAAACAUCAAUAUAUUAAUAAACUACGCAAUUUCUUUAAAUAGAAAAUCCACUCCAACCAUUAUGGACAAAAGAUCUACUAUGACCAUUCAAUAGAGUACGAUACUUAAUUAUCUAAUACAUUUGCAAGCAACUUCAAUAGUUGUCGUUAGGAUUACUUCCACCGGAUGAUCUUCUUAUAUCCAUGGGUGAAAUGGAUCCGCUAGCCGCAUCACUUGGCUACAACAAAAUCAAAAGAGAAUAUAAUUAACAAAUUAACAACUACAACAACAACAACCCAGUAAAAUCCCACGAGCGAUCAAGAGUAAAAAUUUGUCCACGUCUUGAAGAAUGAAGUUUAUCUCUAGCAACUUGCAGCAAAGGACAUAUAGUACAGAUUUCACACUUCAUAAAAUUAAGCUUACAGUAAAGUAACAAAUUAGCCGACCUAAAAUCAGAAAAUAGCUAAUACUAUCAUCAGACAUUUAAAAGCUUAAUGGAAUAUACUUGACUAGGCAUGCUAUUCAGUCUCUUUGUUUAGUAAGUAUUUGAUAUAAUGGGGUCACCUACAGACCAUUACAACAAAAUAAUUACUCGCUAUAUACCAUUACAACUGAAUAAUUACUCUCUGCUUAUAUUAGCUCGGAACACACAUAUUGUGGCCCCUGAAUAACCUAUUAUAGCACCAAUGCUGGCUUGGGUGUCAAACUUACCUCCUUGGUCAAUCUAAGUUACCGUCAAAAUAGAAUAACUCCGGCAGCCAUUAAAUCCCAAUACAGAACAAUCAAUGUAUCAAGAUUUCAUAUUCAUCUUGAAUUAACAAGAACACAACAAUGACUUCCUUAGAUUAGAAUAAAUUAGUAAUGUAAGACAACAAGAAAAGUGUAUAAAGUAUAUUCACAUCACUCAUAAACAGGAAAAAUAAUCUAAAUCACAUCUAGCAAGAUAAAAGGAAAAACAAAGCAAAUUAACAAGGAAUAUACUCAGUUCAUAUGAAGUAACAGUAGCUUGAGAGUUGAGACUCAAACAAUGAACCAACUAACAUUUUGCACCAGCACAAAGCAUCAGAUGCAAAUCAGUAUAUUGUUGAAAAUUCAUCACAGUUAGCUAGUACCUGAUUCAUCAAACCAGACCCCUAAAGAAGUAAAACCACUCCGAUAUGCUAUAUUCUGAUUCAUCAGUAAGAGAGUCAAUUGUAGUGUCAAUGUACUGUGUAUGAUAGAGAGAGAGAAAAUGAAGUAGGAAAGCGAAGGGAGAAAGAGAGAGAGUAUAAUUAACAAAUUAAGCCAUGAUAUAAAAGUGUUUCAUCCAAGAUUUUGAAGUAAUACCUUUUAAAAUAGCCAGUUGCAAAACAAUGGAAGUCUGCGUUUUCAGAAGCCAUAACUAAUUAUAUAAGAUAUUGGGGCAUGGAAAACAGAACACUGAAAUUUCAAAUGACUAAACAAACGUAGAAGCAAUCCACUGGGAUCUUGACACUACUUGCACAUGCAAAAAACAAAUUUCAAGAAACAUUGCAAGUCCACAACCAUGGAGAGCAUACAUGUUUUACAGUACAAACACAAACAAUCAACUAAAUCAUGACAUGUACCUUUGUUGCCACAGACGAUUACCCUUCUGAGCCUCCUUUUCACUGAAAUUAGGCCACUUGUAGCUUUGAUAUGCUUCUAUGGCACAUCUCUCUGAUGAGAUUUGCAGCAUUCCCUGUGGUAAGUACAGGCAUGUGAAAACAAGUCUAGAUUUUAAUAUUAAAAUGUAUAGCUGAUGUGGGUUUAUGAUAAGAGGCAGGUGUUGUAUUUUGCCAGAAGGCCCUGAGAUAAGGUUAAAACUUGCACUAUAUCUUGAUCUUAUAUGCAUUGAUAAUGGCCUAAUGAAACAGAGAUAACAACAAAAUACACGUUUCUUACAUUCUCAUCUAACUUGGGCAAAGAUUUGUUUAGUGAUUCAGCAGCUGUGGAAACCCCAUAGAGAUUCACUGCUCUCAGCUACAGAGGCAUAGUCUUAUCAGCAUACCUUCACAUUUAUUUCUUCUAAACUAGAAAAAGAUGAGAGCUCCAUUUAAAGAAAUAAGGAACACAAAGACACGGAAGUAAAUAUCCAAGAGGAAGCAUUGAGUUAAAUUCUAUCAGAACUUGAAAAGUUACACUUUCACUUCUUUUUUAGUAUGGUAAAUAAUUUUAUUAAUAAUGGGAAAAUCUACGUACAAGAAAUAUCACUACACAGUCAUACACAUACACUAUUUGUUAGUGGAUGGCAUAAAAACUUAUAAUAGUUACGUGUUUAAAUUCAACGGAAUAACUCUUUAUGGUGUACAGUUUUGACUAACUCUGAGUGGACCUUCAGAUGCUGAUGUAUCAAUCUACAUUCAGCCGAGGUUAAAUCAUCAUAGAAAAUAAACAAAUAAGAUACUAUGUUGCAAACACUUCUAACUCAAACAAGUUACAUAAAUUAACCUACAAAAUACACAAAAAAUCUAAAUUUUAGAACCUAAUGUGAAAAGAGAAAGAGGACUUACAUCUCGAUUUCAACAAAGAGUGUUAUAUCCUUCUUCGAAAUACACCGAUUCUACAAAAUUUCUGCCGAUUCAAAAUACAACGAUUCUACCAAAUUUCUUCAAAAUACACCGAUUCUACAAAUUAACAGAGAUAAUAAACUUAAAACCCACAUGUGAAGAAAGAAAGACAAAAAGGCAAAAUCAUAGCGAAAUAGAAGAGGAAUUUGUAGGAAAGAGCAAAAUCAAAUAAACUUACAUCUAAUUGAUUGAUAGAUCUGAAAUUUUUUUUCAUAUCUCUUUCACUUUGCAAUAGAGGAGGCGCUGAAGAAAAGCAGAGAACUAUUGUAUUUGGAAUUUUGCAACUACACGGGCUUGAAAUCGGAGGAAAUGAAGAAGAAAUGAAAGAGAUUAAGUGAAGGAAAAGAGAUUUGCAGUGGCAGUUUUGAUUAAGUGAAGAAGAAAUGGAAUAUUUCUAUGGGUUUUGAUUAAGUGAGAGUGGGCGAGGGUUUCUGAAAAUGAAAAAAGCGAAAAUGAAAAAGGGGUUUGGGAAAAAAUGAGAGGGAAAGGAUUAAAAACCAGGGAAAUACUGGGUUAGUCGGCGCUAUUUUUUAAUGGUUGUGGAGAUUAUCGACCGCCACAAAUAUAAACAUAUUUGUGGGGUAAAUAAACCCCCACAAUUUGAUAUAGAUUACGGAGGUUAUGGUAACCGUCGCAAUAAAACCUCUGCAAAUUUAGCAUUUUUUUGUAGUGUCUCAUGGAUUCUCAGUGUUAAUUGGGAUUGUGAACUAUAACUACCUCUUUGUGGUGCUAUAUAUAUCUGAGAUGAGAGUUGUGUCAACUUUAUUUCACUGCUAUAGCUUCUGUAUUGGGAAAUUGGAGGUUGUGAUACAUGACAUGAGUGACAAAUAGUGACAAGGAUAUCCUAGUUGUAUUUCAUUAGGUCAGGCUGGCUAUGUGUGUGCCUGGAAGAGUGAGGAAUGAUACAUGGGAAACUUUUUCUCUCUCUCAUUGGGUUACGAGAGUGCAUCACAAUGCCAGGUUCUUGUGGGUUCUGAGAUUUGAUGUUGCAUUUGGGGUGUUAC
rnacentral:lncRNA from 1 species